GAACUUUCCCCUGCCAUCUGUACCCAGAAGACAUUGCUUCACUACACAGCAGUUGUCGGAGGCCACAGGAAGCCGAGGACCCGGGCAGUGGCCCCAGAUGGCUGACAGCUUCAGGAGCCAGGCUACAGGAUGGCAGAGGAUCUUUACAUCUAAAGGGCCACUCUCCAUGGCCCUGUCCUUGGCCAGCUCCUUGUGACACUGCAACUCCGGGCAAUGUUUCCUGACAAUGCAGCCAUUUUGGUGGAACUGUCAGCAGAGCCUGAGGUACAAGGCUCUGCCAAUGCUGAAGAUGAAGAGGAUGCUGAAGAUGAAGAGGAUGCUGAAGAUGAAGAGCGAACUGUGGAAAUGGCUGCAGACUGCUAAGCUGUAGUUCCUCACUCUCCUGUUCAUCUGUGCACGUGGGCUGUCAGCGACAGGGGACUGGUGGCAGCUGAAGAAACACGUUCUGACAAAUGUUCAUUGGGGAGAGCAAAGCAAAAUGGUCAGGGGGUGGAGAGAAGCGGCCAUGUGGAGCAGGAAGCAAGGAUGUGAACUGGUGAAGCGGCUGCCCUUCCUCAAGCUCUGCCGUCAGCUUGAUACCUGAGAAAAUAAACGGAGGAAAUCUUA
rnacentral:lncRNA from 1 species